CCAGCAAGCUCUUGAUGGAAAACCCAAAACAUCUGUAUUUUUAUAUCAAGGUUGGAGGCCCAGACUUAUAUUGGUGUUGACGAAGUAGCCAUCAACACAAGAGGAAGAUACAGAGUUGCGCUUUCAGGGCCAGUGAAAAUGACUCGAUCGCCUGACAUACACCAGUCUGUGUCACCCCUGAGCCUACCCAGCAACUCCUCGUGCAUCCACCCCUAAAAUGCACUUGUUUUAUAUGCUGAAAUAAAUAACACAAUGUGAAACUUC